AGAUGUUGAGUUAAAAACCUCCGAAUUGAAUUUCUUCACCCGGACGGGGUCCCUCUCGCGAGGCCUACUCAGCGCUUGGGACUUUGCCCUACUUGUGUGUGCGUUAGCGUGCAGUCAUACAGGGCGUUUACUGGGAAAAAAUUAAAAUGUUCAAAAACGGCGUUUCCCUCGGAUACUUUAUCAUGGAAUAAUAAAAUAGAAGUAGGGUUCUAUUUUGUUGGUUCUAGGACCGUCGUAAUGAUUAAUAGGGAUGGUCGGGGGCAUCAGUAUUCAGUAGUAAGAGGUGAAAUUCUUGGAUUUACUGAAGACUAACUGCUGCGAAAGCAUUUGCCAA
rnacentral:rRNA from 1 species